rfam:Dipodomys ordii contig_69424, whole genome shotgun sequence.
GGUGGCUCAGUGGUAGAGCUCUUGCCUUGCAUGCAUGAGACCCUGGGUUCGAUUCCUCAGCACCA